rnacentral:rRNA from 1 species
UACAGAGGGUGCGAGCGUUAAUCGGAAUUACUGGGCGUAAAGCGUGCGCAGGCGGUUCGUUGUGUCGGUGGUGAAAGCCCCGGGCUCAACCUGGGAACUGCAUCUGUGACUGCAUCGCUGGAGUACGGUAGAGGGGGAUGGAAUUCCGCGUGUAGCAGUGAAAUGCGUAGGUAUGCGGAGGAACACCGAUGGCGAAGGCAAUCCCCUGGACCUGUACUGACGCUCAUGCACGAAAGCGUGGGGAGCAAACAGG